rnacentral:lncRNA from 1 species
AAGGUUUGCUAUGUCCUUAUAAGUUGCUAGCUCUCACUUCCUCUUAGAAGAUCUGAAAACAGGCAAGCAGUCAGUUUCUUGGCAAAGUAGCGUCCAGCUCCUUGGUUGUUUCGACCAGAGUUUGGUCAGUUUCUUGGUGGUCUGGCCUUAGCAAGACAGAUUCAAGGCAGUUCUUGCAGUGGUCGAGCGGCUUCAAGGGAAGAUUUGGGUUGCUAUUGAGUUCGGUCAGCUAAUAGCUUUGAGGGGAUUGAAUUCAGGCCCAGUUUCUGCUUGAAGUUUAUGCUCAUUGAUUGAAGUUGAGGGUAACGCUCACAUUCAAAAUUUGUUGCAGGGUUGCAUAGUCUUUUGCAGCUUUGAAGUGGUUCCUUGCAGUAGAAUGCAUAGAAUGCAGCCCAACUUCUUGGAGCAUAUCUUUGGUGAUAUUCAAUUCCAGCUUUAAAAAUUUGGUGCUUUUUCGAAUUUGGUUAUUGUUUUCUGGGGUAGUUCGGCCAGCUCACUUGAAAGAUUCACUUCACAUGUUAGAAUUUUGAAACUUGCUUGAAUUUCUACCUGGUUUGGUUGAAUUUCUUGGGUUUUUGCAGGUUUUGAUCUGCCUUUGAAGACUCACAUCCCAGUUUUGCUGUUUUUCACUUGAUUGGGUAAAAACAUUCGAACUGUUGAAUUUAUUCAAACCACCCUGCAGUAAGGCAGCAUUGCUCACUGUUUAUGUAGCAUUAAGCUACCUAUUUUAGCAAAAAACUCAGAAUUUUGGCACUUGGUCUGGCCUAAAUUCAAAAACUGUCUCAAAAUGUUUCUUGAAUUUUAGCUGCACGAUCAAAGCUGAAAAUGGGAAAGA